AUUUUAAAAAAUGUCAUAUUUUACUUUUGAACUUUCUUGUCCUUCUAGAAAAUUUGAAUACCUUGGGUGUCCUUAAUUAAAGUUGAUUUUAUUAGAUGAAAAAAUUGUACAAAAAGUACAUAAUAAUGAUAAUAAUAACACCAAACCCACCCCAUCCUCACACUCUAACCUUACUCUUCUCCCCUCCAUUUGCAAAUGCAAGAAAAUCAAAAUUUAAAUCUUCAAAGAUCCCAUUUGCAAAAGCAAGAAAAUCAAAACUCAAAUCUUGAAAACUCCAACCUCCUUAGCCGCUCCACGCCUGACUUUUCUUUUUCAUCCGACCGACAUAGCAUCUGGAACAAGUGAAGUGACUGUUGAAAUCUCUAUUUUUUUCUCACAUUUUCAAUCUUCAUCUAUCGAUUUCUAAUUUGUAGCAUAUGGAAUUGUGACACCAAGCUAUUGCCAUAUCCUGAAUUUGACCAUUGUCUUCUUCUUUUCUCUGUGUCUCUUUUUGUUUUCUAUUUUUAUUAAUCGUUCAUAUUGAAGAGGAGAUAGAUGAAAAGGAAGUAUCCGGCAAUUUCGCAUAUGGAUUUCGAGUUUGUUUUGUCUAAAGGCGAAUGUAUACAUGGAUGAUGUACGAUGUAUUUUCCUAAUGAAAGGGCUGCACCGGUUCCCUCAAUUGCCACUGAUGCAGUUGAAAAUGAAAAAGUGGUGGUGACGAAAAAAUGACGCUCGAUGCACAUUGGAACAUUAUCAAUGUUAAAUCGGACUAUGCACACUAGGAGUGGUAGGAAGAGAGGAAAUAACAUAAAAUAAUAUGUUUUUUUGAUUGGGAAAAAAUGUGUACCAUUUUUUUGAACUUGGAAUUUGUCAUGUUUUGAAAUUUUUUACAUUUAUGUUUGUUUUCAUAUUUAUUUGAAAAAUUAUUUAGGUCUAUUGUCAUGUAUGUUUAGUUUAUGUUAUUUUACUCAAAUAUAGUGUUAUUGUGAACGA